rnacentral:rRNA from 1 species
UACGGGAGGCAGCAGUGGGGAAUAUUGCACAAUGGGCGCAAGCCUGAUGCAGCCAUGCCGCGUGUAUGAAAAAGGCCUUCGGGUUGUAAAGUACUUUCAGUCGUGAGGAAGGUGUUAAGGUUAAUAACCUUAGCAAUUGACGUUAGCGACAGAAGAAGCACCGGCUAACUCCGUGCCAGCAGCCGCGGUAAUACGGAGGGUGCGAGCGUUAAUCGGAAUUACUGGGCGUAAAGGGCACGCAGGCGGUUAAUUAAGUUGGAUGUGAAAUCCCCGGGCUUAACCUGGGAAUGGCAUUCAAGACUGGUUAGCUAGAGUCUUGUAGAGGGGGGUAGAAUUCCAUGUGUAGCGGUGAAAUGCGUAGAGAUGUGGAGGAAUACCGGUGGCGAAGGCGGCCCCUGGACAAAGACUGACGCUCAUGUGCGAAAGCGUGGGGAGCAAACAGGGAUUAGAUACC